rnacentral:rRNA from 1 species
UACGUAGGUAGCAAGCGUUAUCCGGAUUUAUUGGGCGUAAAGGGAACGCAGGCGGUCUUUUAAGUCUGAUGUGAAAGCCUUCGGCUUAACCGGAGUAGUGCAUUGGAAACUGGGAGACUUGAGUGCAGAAGAGGAGAGUGGAACUCCAUGUGUGGCGGUGAAAUGCGUAGAUAUAUGGAAGAACACCAGUGGCGAAAGCGGCUCUCUGGUCUGUAACUGACGCUGAGGUUCGAAAGCGUGGGUAGCAAACAGG